UGGGGAAUUUUGCACAAUGGGGGAAACCCUGAUGCAGCGACGCCGCGUGAGCGAAGAAGGUUUUCGAAUCGUAAAGCUCUGUCCUAUGGGAAGAUAAUGACGGUACCAUAGGAGGAAGCCCCGGCUAACUACGUGCCAGCAGCCGCGGUAAUACGUAGGGGGCAAGCGUUGUCCGGAAUCACUGGGCGUAAAGGGUUCGCAGGCGGAAAUGCAAGUCAGUUGUGAAAGGCAGAGGCUCAACCUCUGUAAGCAAUUGAAACUGUAUUUCUUGAGAUGUGGAGAGGCAAGUGGAAUUCCUAGUGUAGCGGUGAAAUGCGUAGAUAUUAGGAAGAAUACCGGUGGCGAAGGCGACUUGCUGGACACAAACUGACGCUGAGGAACGAAAGCGUGGGUAGCAAACAGG
rnacentral:rRNA from 1 species